rnacentral:rRNA from 1 species
GGGUUCCUACGGGGGGCAGCAGUGGGGGAUAUUGCACAAUGGGGGGAACCCUGAUGCAGCGACGCCGCGUGGGUGAAGAAGUAUUUCGGUAUGUAAAGCCCUAUCGGCAGGGAAGAAUUUAGACGGUACCUGACUAAGAAGCCCCGGCUAACUACGUGCCAGCAGCCGCGGUAAUACGUAGGGGGCAAGCGUUAUCCGGAUUCACUGGGGGUAAAGGGAGCGUAGACGGCCAUGCAAGCCUGGAGGGAAAGCCCGGGGCCCAACCCCGGGACUGCUCUGGGAACUGU